rnacentral:rRNA from 1 species
UACUCAGUUCAGAUUGCAGGCUGCAACCCGCCUGCAUGAAGUCGGAAUUGCUAGUAAUCGCGGAUCAGCAUGCCGCGGUGAAUACGUUCCCGGGCCUUGUACACACCGCCCGUCACACCAUGGGAGCCGGUAAUACCCGAAGUCAGUAGUCCAACCUCGUGAGGACGCUGCCGAAGGUAGGAUUGGCGACUGGGGUGAAGUCGUAACAAGGUAUC